rnacentral:rRNA from 1 species
AGCAGCCGCGGUAAUUCCAGCUCCAAUAGCGUAUAUUAAAGUUGUUGCAGUUAAAAAGCUCGUAGUUGAAUUUCGGAGUUCUACCGUUGGUCAGGCUAACAAGUCUGUACUGGUGUGUAGAAUUUCUACCUUCUGGGGAACCAUCAUGUUAUUAAUUUAGCGUGGUGGGAAACCAGGACCUUUACCUUGAAAAAAUUAGAGUGUUCAAAGCAGGCUUACGUCUGAAUACAUUAGCAUGGAAUAAUAAAAUAGGACGGUGGUCCUGUUUUGUUGGUUUCUGAAUCACCGUAAUGAUUAAUAGGGAUAGUUGGGGGCAUUAGUAUUCAAUUGUCAGAGGUGAAAUUCUUGGAUUUAUUGAAGACUAACUUCUGCGAAAGCAUUUGCCAAGGAUGUUUUCAUUAAUCAAGAACGAAAGUUAGGGGAUCGAAGACGAUCAGAUACCGUCGUAGUCUUAACCAUAAACUAUGCCGACUAGGGAUCGGACGAUGUUAAAUUUAUUGACCUGUUCGGCGCCUUACGG